rnacentral:lncRNA from 1 species
GCGGAAGUUUAAUAUGCAAAAGAAAGAGAAGAGUUCUCUGCUGCAGAGAGGGGUCUCAGAAAAAUGGGUUGCCGGAUCCGCGGUGAAAUGCAGGAGGUUUUAUAGAUGAGCUGGUGGGGAGGCGGCGUCUGAUCUACAUAGGCAAGAAAGGGCAAGAAAGACUGGUUAGACCAGUUGUGCUAUUUGCAUAGGGCACGAAUCUCUGGUAUCCCCCAUCCUAACCUUUUUUUAUUAUCCAGGCGCGUCUCUGCCUGAGGUGCACCAUGUUGCCCAUUUCUUUAUUACUGUACACGUGAUAACAAAAAAAGAGAAGAUGGAGCCUCCAUGUUGGACAUGGCCGCCCCCAGAUGGAGCCCCGGGGGGGCCGUGGCUGGCCUGGAGCUGGGGUGGCAGAGUCUCUCUCCUGGUUUUGCUCUCACAGAGCGUGACAUCUCCCUGGAGCAAGGUGGGACCACUGCUGAGCUCACAUCAGUCACUGUACUUCCUAGGAAGUUUUCUGAUACAACGUCAUUUCCUGUAAGUUGGGAUUUUUGCACACAGGACAAAACAAAGAUGACAGCUCAUCUCUCUUGACCCUGAAAAAUCUACACGUUUUUAUUGGGCACAAGGCCUACUCAGAAGAAAAUAUAUAUUUCUACACCAGCAUUGUAGCUAAGUGCAAUCGCAGUGGUGAAGUCCUAUGCAAUAUGUAAAUGUUGUGAGAAGAUAUUUAAAUGGAGUGGACAUGCCCAUUUCCUCUUCUCUCUUUCUCCUGGCUAUAAAGUAGAUGUGAUGGCUGGAGCUAGAGUGACCAUCUGGAACCACCUGGUGAACUUGAGCUUGAGACUCUAACACUGCAGAGUGUCAUACCAACUGUGAUGACCUACUCAGACUUCUAAGUAAGACAGCAAUAAACUUCAUUCUGAUUUAACCCACUGUUACUUUGAGCUUUUUCUAUUACAGUCAAGUCUAAUCCUAACCGAUAUAUGCUCCCUUCAACUUUUCCUCAGGCACUGGGAGAAAAGACAGAGCACAAAAGAUGCAACCUCAAACUGAAUUUCUAAGAGGAAGACGAGUCUCAGGGCAAUGGGAA